rnacentral:rRNA from 1 species
AGAGUUUGAUCCUGGCUCAGGAUGAACGCUAGCUACAGGCUUAACACAUGCAAGUCGAGGGGCAGCAUUUUAGUUUGCUUGCAAACUGAAGAUGGCGACCGGCGCACGGGUGAGUAACACGUAUCCAACCUGCCGAUAACUCCGGAAUAGCCUUUCGAAAGAAAGAUUAAUACCGGAUGGCAUACGAAUAUCGCAUGAUAUUUUUAUUAAAGAAUUUCGGUUAUCGAUGGGGAUGCGUUCCAUUAGUUUGUUGGCGGGGUAACGGCCCACCAAGACUACGAUGGAUAGGGGUUCUGAGAGGAAGGUCCCCCACAUUGGAACUGAGACACGGUCCAAACUCCUACGGGAGGCAGCAGUGAGGAAUAUUGGUCAAUGGGCGAUGGCCUGAACCAGCCAAGUAGCGUGAAGGAUGACUGCCCUAUGGGUUGUAAACUUCUUUUAUAUGGGAAUAAAGUUUUCCACGUGUGGAAUUUUGUAUGUACCAUAUGAAUAAGGAUCGGCUAACUCCGUGCCAGCAGCCGCGGUAAUACGGAGGAUCCGAGCGUUAUCCGGAUUUAUUGGGUUUAAAGGGAGCGUAGGUGGACAGUUAAGUCAGUUGUGAAAGUUUGCGGCUCAACCGUAAAAUUGCAGUUGAUACUGGCGACCUUGAGUGCAACAGAGGUAGGCGGAAUUCGUGGUGUAGCGGUGAAAUGCUUAGAUAUCACGAAGAACUCCGAUUGCGAAGGCAGCUCACUGGACUGCAACUGACACUGAUGCUCGAAAGUGUGGGUAUCAAACAGGAUUAGAUACCCUGGUAGUCCACACAGUAAACGAUGAAUACUCGCUGUUUGCGAUAUACAGUAAGCGGCCAAGCGAAAGCAUUAAGUAUUCCACCUGGGGAGUACGCCGGCAACGGUGAAACUCAAAGGAAUUGACGGGGGCCCGCACAAGCGGAGGAACAUGUGGUUUAA